rnacentral:rRNA from 1 species
GACGGAGGGGGCUAGCGUUGUUCGGAAUUACUGGGCGUAAAGAGCGCGUAGGCGGAUUAGUAAGUUGGAAGUGAAAGCCCGGGGCUUAACCUCGGAAUAGCUUUCAAAACUACUAGUCUUGAGUGUAGUAGGGGAUGAUGGAAUUCCUAGUGUAGAGGUGAAAUUCUUAGAUAUUAGGAGGAACACCGGUGGCGAAGGCGGUCAUCUGGGCUACAACUGACGCUGAGGCGCGAAAGCGUGGGGAGCAAACGGG